GGAAACAGAUGCUAAUACCGGAUAAAAGCUACUUUCGCAUGAAAGAAGUUUUAAAAAGGACGGCGUAAAGCUGUCGCUAAAAGGGGAUGGACCUGCGAUGCAUUAGCUAGUUGGUAAGGUAACGGCGUUACCAAGGCGAUGAUGCAUAGCCCGAGUUGAGAGACUGAUCGGCCACAUUGGGACUGAGACACGGCCCAAACUCCUACGGGAGGCAGCAGUAGGGAAUCUUCCACAAUGGACGCAAGUCUGAUGGAGCAACGCCGCGUGAGUGAAGAAGGUUUUCGGAUCGUAAAGCUCUGUUGUUGGUGAAGAAGGAUAGAGGUAGUAACUGGGCCUUUAUUUGACGGUAAUCAACCAGAAAGUCACGGCUAACUACGUGCCAGCAGCCGCGGUAAU
rnacentral:rRNA from 1 species